rnacentral:rRNA from 1 species
CAAUAGCGUAUAUUAAAGUUGUUGCGGUUAAAAAGCUCGUAGUUGGAUUUCUGUGGUAGGCAGCCGGUCCGCACUAUGUGCGAGUAUCUGGUUCGGCUACUGCAUCCUCCUGAAGAACGUUGGUGCGCUUCACUGCGUGGCACGGUAUUCAGGACUUUUACUUUGAGGAAAUUAGAGUGUUCACGGCAGGCGCUUGCCCUGAAUAUGUUAGCAUGGAAUAAUAAUAUAGGACUUUGGUUUUAUUUUGUUGGUUUCUUAGAACUUAAAGUAAUGAUAAAUAAGGGACGAGUUGGGGGGUAUUUGUAGUUAAUGCGUCAGAGGUGGAAUUCUUGGAUUGCAUUAC